UUGAUCGUGAUCUGUGGGAAGGAAUAGCAAAUCUGAAACCUCCUCGUUUUGAAUUUGUGAAGAACGAUUCUUUUAAUUCCUAUGACCUGCUGAUCAGGAACAUCAGUAAUACUGAUGAGGGUCUCUACUACUGUGGAACUAAAGAGGUUAAGGUGGAGAACAACAAGGAACACAUCACUUCCACAGAUGUUUUCAGAUAUAGCAACAUAACAACAAGGAUCAUACUCAACUCCACCGAGCCCCUUCAGGAAAUCCAUCAUGACAAGAAGACUGAGCAAAACUGUGGUUUGUGCUGGAAGCUGCUCUUCUCUCUGUGUCCAGCUGUUGCUGUUCUUUCUUCUCUCUUGUCUCUUCUGGCUUUCCAGUUUUGCCACAAAACAGGAAAACCUCAAGAUGAUGAGAAAAGUCAUGAGAGCAGAAGUCAAGGAAAACAGGAUGAAGACGUUUGUUAUGCUGCCCUGGAAAUCCGUCAACCAUCACAGAGACCAAAGAGGAAGAAAACCCAGAGUUCAGACUUCAGCACAUAUUCAGACAUCCAAAAUUGAUCAUCUGCUCAGAAACCUCUGGACAGAGACUCUUCUUUCUGCUGUUAUGCAGUUCAGCUUAAAGUUCAAAUCUGUGAUUGAACUCGUGUGUGUGUGUGCAUGACUCAGGUCGUUUGCAUUGUUUUCAUUUUACUUCAAGGUAAGGGUCAGUCAUAUAUUCUUUAUUAGACAGAAUCACACUCCAAGUCAUGAAUGUAUUAAAUGCUUCAUGUAGUGAUCAUUGAGGCUCAAAGUAAAAUCCCUCAUAAAACAGCAGUCAACAUUUUAUGAAUAUCUAUAAUCAUGACACUGAAAUGCAUAAAA